rnacentral:tRNA from 1 species
GCCCCCGUAGCUCAAUUGGUAGAGCAAUUCCCUUUUAAGGAAGUGGUUCCGCGUUCGAGUCGCGGCGGGGGCACUA